GACGUGCUUGCACUGAAUGAGAUUUUAAUAUGAAGUGAGUGGCGGACGGGUGAGUAACACGUGGGUAACCUGCCCAGAAGCAGGGGAUAACACCUGGAAACAGAUGCUAAUACCGUAUAACAGAGAAAACCGCCUGGUUUUCUUUUAAAAGAUGGCUCUGCUAUCACUUCUGGAUGGACCCGCGGCGCAUUAGCUAGUUGGUGAGGUAACGGCUCACCAAGGCGAUGAUGCGUAGCCGACCUGAGAGGGUAAUCGGCCACAUUGGGACUGAGACACGGCCCAGACUCCUACGGGAGGCAGCAGUAGGGAAUCUUCCACAAUGGACGCAAGUCUGAUGGAGCAACGCCGCGUGAGUGAAGAAGGGUUUCGGCUCGUAAAGCUCUGUUGUUAAAGAAGAACGUGGGUGAGAGUAACUGUUCACCCAGUGACGGUAUUUAACCAGAAAGCCACGGCUAACUACGUGCCAGCAGCCGCGGUAAUACGUAGGUGGCAAGCGUUAUCCGGAUUUAUUGGGCGUAAAGCGAGCGCAGGCGGUCUUUUAAGUCUAAUGUGAAAGCCUUCGGCUCAACCGAAGAAGUGCAUUGGAAACUGGGAGACUUGAGUGCAGAAGAGGACAGUGGAACUCCAUGUGUAGCGGUGAAAUGCGUAGAUAUAUGGAAGAACACCAGUGGCGAAGGCGGCUGUCUGGUCUGUAACUGACGCUGAGGCUCGAAAGCAUGGGUAGCGAACAGGAUUAGAUACCCUGGUAGUCCAUGCCGUAAACGAUGAUUACUAAGUGUUGGAGGGUUUCCGCCCUUCAGUGCUGCAGCUAACGCAUUAAGUAAUCCGCCUGGGGAGUACGACCGCAAGGUUGAAACUCAAAAGAAUUGACGGGGGCCCGCACAAGCGGUGGAGCAUGUGGUUUAAUUCGAAGCUACGCGAAGAACCUUACCAGGUCUUGACAUCUUCUGCCAACCUAAGAGAUUAGGCGUUCCCUUCGGGGACAGAAUGACAGGUGGUGCAUGGUUGUCGUCAGCUCGUGUCGUGAGAUGUUGGGUUAAGUCCCGCAACGAGCGCAACCCUUAUUACUAGUUGCCAGCAUUCAGUUGGGCACUCUAGUGAGACUGCCGGUGACAAACCGGAGGAAGGUGGGGACGACGUCAAAUCAUCAUGCCCCUUAUGACCUGGGCUACACACGUGCUACAAUGGAUGGUACAACGAGUCGCGAAACCGCGAGGUUUAGCUAAUCUCUUAAAACCAUUCUCAGUUCGGACUGUAGGCUGCAACUCGCCUACACGAAGUCGGAAUCGCUAGUAAUCGCGGAUCAGCAUGCCGCGGUGAAUACGUUCCCGGGCCUUGUACACACCGCCCGUCACACCAUGAGAGUUUGUAACACCCAAAGCCGGUGGGGUAACCUUUUAGGAGCUAGC
rnacentral:rRNA from 1 species